rnacentral:snoRNA from 1 species
GCCUCUGAUGAUGACUAAAUUAUAAUACUUUCGUUCUUCUGAAAAUAUUUCCAUGUGGAAGAUUUAUGGAGACCUGAACUGAAGAGGC